rnacentral:rRNA from 1 species
UGGGGAAUAUUGGACAAUGGGCGAAAGCCUGAUCCAGCCAUGCCGCUUGUGUGAAGAAGGUCUUCGGAUUGUAAAGCACUUUAAGUUGGGAGGAAGGGCAUUAACCUAAUACGUUAGUGUUUUGACGUUACCGACAGAAUAAGCACCGGCUAACUCUGUGCCAGCAGCCGCGGUAAAACAGAGGGUGCAAGCGUUAAUCGGAAUUACUGGGCGUAAAGCGCGCGUAGGUGGUUUGUUAAGUUGGAUGUGAAAUCCCCGGGCUCAACCUGGGAACUGCAUUCAAAACUGACUGACUAGAGUAUGGUAGAGGGUGGUGGAAUUUCCUGUGUAGCGGUGAAAUGCGUAGAUAUAGGAAGGAACACCAGUGGCGAAGGCGACCACCUGGACUAAUACUGACACUGAGGUGCGAAAGCGUGGGGAGCAAACA